rnacentral:rRNA from 1 species
UGGAAGUAAAAAGUCGUAACAAGGUCUCCGUUGGUGAACCAGCGGAGGGAUCAUUG